AUAUCUAAUAACUAGAAAUGUGUCCAUAGGACACGGGUGCCCCCACCGCGCCACUGUUAUCUCAAUCUUUUUACUAAGUCAAGGGAAAUAACUCUACAAAUAUUUGAUAAAUCCACAAGCAAAACCCCAGGUGCAAAUUUAAAAUAUGCUGAGCAACCUGCCCUUAAGGUUUAAUGACUAUGUCAAAUCCAAGUUGAAAAAUUGCAAAAAAAUUCUAAGUGAAGGGCAAUAACUCUAAAAAUACAAAAUAAAUCCAGACGAAAAUACCUGGUGCACAACUGCACAUGCUGAUCAAUAUUUCUGUAACGUUACAUGACUCUAGGUCAAAUACUUACGUGCGACACAUGUUGAAAAUUGCGAAAUUUUACUAAGUCAAGGGCAAUAACUCUGAAAAUACUAAAAAUAUCCACACGAAAAUACCCAGGUGCACAACUACAUAUGCUGAUCAACAUUCCUGUAAAGUUUCAUGACUUUAGGUCAAAUUCUUUUUGAGUUACGUGCGACACAAGUUGAAAAUUGCAAAAUUUUACUAAGUCAAGGGCAAUAACUCUGAAAAUACUAAAAAUAUCCACAUGAAAAUACCCAGGUGCACAACUACACAUGCUGAUCAACAUUCCUGUAAAGUUUCAUGACUCUAGGACAAAAAUUUUUUGAGUUACAUGCGGCACAAGUUGAAAAUUGCAAAAUUUUACUAAGUCAAGGGCAAUAACUCUGAAAAUACUAAAAAUAUCCAGACGAAAAUACCCAGGUGCACAACUACACAUGCUGAUCAACAUUCCUGUAAAGUUUCAUGACUCUAGGUCAAAUACUUUUUGAGUUACGUGCGACACAAAAGUGAACGGACGGACGGAAGGACGGACGGAAGGACGGACGGACAGACGGACGGACGGACGGAAGGACGGACGGACAAGGGUAAAUCUAAAUGCCCGCCACUAACGUGGGGGCACAAAAA